GACGAACGCUGGCGGCGUGCUUAACACAUGCAAGUCGAACGGAAAGGCCCUGCUUUUGUGGGGUGCUCGAGUGGCGAACGGAUGAGUAACACGUGAGUAACCUGCCCUUGACUUUGGGAUAACUUCAGGAAACUGGGGCUAAUACCGGAUAUGAGCUCCUACUGCAUGGUGGGGGUUGUAAAGUUUCGGCGGUUGGGGAUGGACUCGCGGUUUAUCAGCUUGUUGGUGGGGUAGUGGCUUACCAAGGCUUUGACGGGUAGCCGGCCUGAGAGGGUGACCGGGCACAGUGGGCUAGGGAUACGGCCCGGACGCCUACGGGAGGCAUGAGUGGAGAAUAGUGCACAAAGGGCGGAAGCCUGAUGCAGCAACGCCGCGUGGGGGAUGACGGCCUUCGGGUUGUAAACCGCUUUCGACUGUGACGAAGCGUGAGUGACGGUAAUGGGUAAAGAAGCACCGGCUAACUACGU
rnacentral:rRNA from 1 species